rnacentral:lncRNA from 1 species
CUCAGGGGUGUGCGUAACACGUUACACUCUCACAUUAAAGACAGACCCAGUCAGAGAAUUAAUGUCGGUCACUGGACUUUAAUAACAAGUGUAGUAAUGGAAACCUAUAUGUGUGUGUGUGUGUUUGUCUGUGUGUGUGUGUGUGUGUGGGCUUGGUUCAUAAGAACCGGUUCAACUGCCCUUCCUGCUUUAAGAGCUACCGAACCAUGCUGGACCUGGCCCAGCACCGCUGCAGCGCCGCGGCCAAAAACCAGCCGGCUGGCCGUCGAUCAAAUUUCGCUUCUACACCUCGUCGCCAGCAGCAGCGGAACAACGCUAAGUCCAUGAUGCCGCCACAGCAUGGAGGACACGGGCAGCAGGAUCCCCUCCCUCCCCACUACGUGUCACCAAUGUCCCAGAACAGUCGGUCUGUGUCUGACCCGCACCAGGGCCGAUCCAGCUCAGUAUCCUCUCAGAGUAGCAGUAUGAGGAGCUCGUCCUCUAACAAACACGUCUCCUCAUCCAGUGCUGCCCCAUCCUCCUCCUACUCCCUGCUCCAGCCCCUGGUCCCUGAGGUAAAGGAGAUGAGCUUGGGAUACACUAGGCUGAGCGCCAACCCCAUGCCAAAGCACCAGGACACGUACUCCAUGACGUCGCAGCGGCCCCUCACCGCCAUCAACCCUAUCGGUCACACUCUCCAUCCGAACAGCGCGCCCACGCUCAAGCCUACCGCCGUGCCACGCAGCAUCCAGGCCAUGCCCUGGGAACAGCGCUCACUCUACAAUCAAUGAGACUCACCACCGCCACCCCCCCCCCCAAACUCCCUCUCACCUCACAUCCACUGAACGCUUCCUCUUCCUUUUCCUCCCUCACCGGCCUUUUUCAGGCGCCGCACGAGCGGAGUAACAGACACACUACUCUCUCCCUCUGGAACGUUGUCGGAGAACAAGUAAGGUAACCAUUAAGAAGUAGUUGAGAUUGAUUACAGAGUAGAUACUUUUAAAAUAAUGUUUUGCCUUGACCCUCAUGUAUUAUGUAUGCCAAGUAUUGAAUCUAAGUUAAAAUGUCCUUUCACUAAGACUUUCUCUACCCCCGUCGUUCUCUCCCGCUCUAGUUAAUAAAUAUCUAUCCUUCCAUUUAUGAAUAGCGUGU